rnacentral:rRNA from 1 species
AGUGAACGCUGGCGGUAGGCCUAACACAUGCAAGUCGAACGGCAGCACAGGAGAGCUUGCUCUCUGGGUGGCGAGUGGCGGACGGGUGAGGAAUACAUCGGAAUCUACUCUGUCGUGGGGGAUAACGUAGGGAAACUUACGCUAAUACCGCAUACGACCUACGGGUGAAAGCAGGGGAUCUUCGGACCUUGCGCGAUUGAAUGAGCCGAUGUCGGAUUAGCUAGUUGGCGGGGUAAAGGCCCACCAAGGCGACGAUCCGUAGCUGGUCUGAGAGGAUGAUCAGCCACACUGGAACUGAGACACGGUCCAGACUCCUACGGGAGGCAGCAGUGGGGAAUAUUGGACAAUGGGCGCAAGCCUGAUCCAGCCAUACCGCGUGGGUGAAGAAGGCCUUCGGGUUGUAAAGCCCUUUUGUUGGGAAAGAAAUCCAGCUGGCUAAUACCCGGUUGGGAUGACGGUACCCAAAGAAUAAGCACCGGCUAACUUCGUGCCAGCAGCCGCCGCCGUAA